rnacentral:rRNA from 1 species
CCAGACUCCUACGGGAGGCAGCAGUGGGGGAUAUUGCACAAUGGGGGAAACCCUGAUGCAGCGACGCCGCGUGAGUGAAGAAGUAUUUCGGUAUGUAAAGCUCUAUCAGCAGGGACGAAAAUGACGGUACCUGAGUAAGAAGCCCCGGCUAACUACGUGCCAGCAGCCGCGGUAAUACGUAGGGGGCAAGCGUUAUCCGGAUUUACUGGGUGUAAAGGGAGCGUAGACGGUUAUGCAAGUCUGGAGUGAAAGGCGGGGGCUCAACCCCCGGACUGCUCUGGAAACUGGCAUGCUGGAGUGCCGGAGGGGCAAGCGGAAUUCCUAGUGUAGCGGUGAAAUGCGUAGAUAUUAGGAGGAACACCGGUGGCGAAGGCGGCUUGCUGGACGGUAACUGACGUUGAGGCCCGAAAGCGUGGGGAGCAAACAGGAUUAGAUACCCCGGUA